GAAAUGCGAUAAGUAGUGUGAAUUGCAGAAUUCAGUGAAUCAUCGAAUCUUUGAACGCACAUUGCGCCCCUUGGUAUUCCAUGGGGCAUGCUGUUCGAGCGUCAUUUGUACCUUCAAGCUUUGCUUGGUGUUGGGUGUUUGUCUCGCCUCUGCGUGUAGACUCGCCUCAAAACAAUUGGCAGCCGGCGUAUUGAUUUCGGAGCGCAGUACAUCUCGCGCUUUGCACUCAUAACGACGACGUCCAAAAGUACAUUUUUACACUCUUGACCUCGGAUCAGGUAGGGAUACCCGCUGAACUUAAGC
rnacentral:misc_RNA from 1 species